GCCUCCUUCCGUCCGUCACACGCCGCUUUGUAGUUCCGGUCGGCUGACGGGCAUUUUUAUUAUUUUUUUUUUUUUUUCUAUCUUCCGAGUGGCGAAGCUCUGAGCGAUGUAUCGGUUUUACUGUGACGCGCGGCGUUUUUUGUCCUUUUUUUUUUUUUCCCCCGCGUUUAAACAUAUCAUUCUGUCAGAAAUCUGCUUUCAACGCGUCGCAGGACUUCGUGGGGACUUUCUUGUAGCGUAGCGGUUUCGGUAUUGUCCGUGCGUUUGGACAAAGACGUUUUUUCGAUUGGUCUCUUUUCUUUUCUUUCUUUUUUUUCAUAAUUUCCGUUGAUUGCCGGGCUAUUUCGGCAGCGAGACAACGAAUACGUCUCGCAAUACUCGGCGCGGAAUCGUUUCCGGUCAACAAUGGCUUAUCGUCGCGUGCAGGUAUAAAUUAAAUUACUUUACACGUCCUCCCUUCCGACUCGCCACCCUAAAACAGUGGCACACCCGUCGUCAGCUGCGGCACAUCGGCUCAUUUUUCGUACGACUGCGCACAGCAAGAAGAAAAACGUCCCUCUCGCAAACCGCACAACAGUAUACGUUCGUAUUAUAAACGAC